GUGGGGAAUAUUGGACAAUGGGCGAAAGCCUGAUCCAGCCAUGCCGCGUGUGUGAAGAAGGUCUUCGGAUUGUAAAGCACUUUAAGUUGGGAGGAAGGGCAGUAAGUUAAUACCUUGCUGUUUUGACGUUACCGACAGAAUAAGCACCGGCUAACUUCGUGCCAGCAGCCGCGGUAAUACGAAGGGUGCAAGCGUUAAUCGGAAUUACUGGGCGUAAAGCGCGCGUAGGUGGUUUUGUAAGUUGGAGGUGAAAUCCCCGGGCGCAACCAGGGAACUGCCUCCAAAACUGCAUGACUAGAGUACGGUAGAGGGUAGUGGAAUUUCCUGUGUAGCGGUGAAAUGCGUAGAUAUAGGAAGGAACACCAGUGGCGAAGGCGACUACCUGGACUGAUACUGACACUGAGGUGCGAAAGCGUGGGGAGCAAACAGGAUUAGAUACCCCAGUAGUCC
rnacentral:rRNA from 1 species